CUACGGGCCGCUGCAGUGGGGAAUAUUGGACAAUGGGCGAAAGCCUGAUCCAGCAAUGCCGCGUGAGUGAUGAAGGCCUUAGGGUUGUAAAGCUCUUUUACCCGGGAUGAUAAUGACAGUACCGGGAGAAUAAGCUCCGGCUAACUCCGUGCCAGCAGCCGCGGUAAUACGGAGGGAGCUAGCGUUGUUCGGAAUUACUGGGCGUAAAGCGCACGUAGGCGGCUUUGUAAGUUAGAGGUGAAAGCCUGGAGCUCAACUCCAGAAUUGCCUUUAAGACUGCAUCGCUCGAAUCCAGGAGAGGUCAGUGGAAUUCCGAGUGUAGAGGUGAAAUUCGUAGAUAUUCGGAAGAACACCAGUGGCGAAGGCGGCUGACUGGACUGGUAUUGACGCUGGGGUGCGAAAGCGUGGGGAGCAAACAGGAUUAGAUACCCUAGUAGUC
rnacentral:rRNA from 1 species